GUUUCGGUGUGCAGUGGUAGAGCACACGUCCACGGAUAGGAUGAAGCGCGAGUUUGAUUCUCGCCUGAGGCU